rnacentral:rRNA from 1 species
AGUGAACGCUGGCGGUAGGCCUAACACAUGCAAGUCGAACGGCAGCACAGUAAGAGCUUGCUCUUACGGGUGGCGAGUGGCGGACGGGUGAGGAAUACAUCGGAAUCUACUUUUUCGUGGGGGAUAACGUAGGGAAACUUACGCUAAUACCGCAUACGACCUACGGGUGAAAGCAGGGGAUCUUCGGACCUUGCGCGAUUGAAUGAGCCGAUGUCGGAUUAGCUAGUUGGCGGGGUAAGGGCCCACCAAGGCGACGAUCCGUAGCUGGUCUGAGAGGAUGAUCAGCCACACUGGAACUGAGACACGGUCCAGACUCCUACGGGAGGAAGCAGUGGGGAAUAUUGGACAAUGGGCGCAAGCCUGAUCCAGCCAUACCGCGUGGGUGAAGAAGGCCUUCGGGUUGUAAAGCCCUUUUGUUGGGAAAGAAAAGCAGCAGGUUAAUACCCCGCUGUUCUGACGGUACCCAAAGAAUAAGCACCGGCUAACUUCGUG